AGCUUUGCGCAGUGGCAGUAUCGUAGCCGAUGAGGUUAAUCCGAGGCGCGAUUAUUGCUAAUUGAAAACUUUUCCCAAUACCCCGCCAUGACGACUUGAAAUAUAGUCGGCAUCGGCAAUUUUUGAGGGCCUCUCCGGAGG
ensembl:snRNA U4 U4 spliceosomal RNA